AACUCUAGAGAUAGAGCUUUCCCCUUCGGGGGACAAAGUGACAGGUGGUGCAUGGUUGUCGUCAGCUCGUGUCGUGAGAUGUUGGGUUAAGUCCCGCAACGAGCGCAACCCUUAAGCUUAGUUGCCAUCAUUAAGUUGGGCACUCUAGGUUGACUGCCGGUGACAAACCGGAGGAAGGUGGGGAUGACGUCAAAUCAUCAUGCCCCUUAUGAUUUGGGCUACACACGUGCUACAAUGGACAAUACAAAGGGCAGCUAAACCGCGAGGUCAUGCAAAUCCCAUAAAGUUGUUCUCAGUUCGGAUUGUAGUCUGCAACUCGACUACAUGAAGCUGGAAUCGCUAGUAAUCGUAGAUCAGCAUGCUACGGUGAAUACGUUCCCGGGUCUUGUACACACCGCCCGUCACACCACGAGAGUUUGUAACACCCGAAGCCGGUGGAGUAACCAUUUAUGGAGCUAGCCGUCGAAGGUGGGACAAAUGAUUGGGGUGAAGUCGUAACAAGGUAGCCGUAUCGGAAG
rnacentral:rRNA from 1 species